rnacentral:rRNA from 1 species
AUGUUGGUUGGACCAAAUGGUCCUGUAGAAACCACUAAGGAUAUUAUGGAUAUUGCUGUAGACUACUACAAGAAGCUUUUUGGCAGAGAGGAUACCCUAGAUAUUUCUCUAGAUGAUGAUUUUUGGGAUCCCUCUGAAAAAGUUUCUGAAGAACAUAAUAGGGUUCUAGAUGCUGAUAUCACUAAAGAGGAUGUAAGGAAAGCAGGCUUUGGUUCUUAUGCUGAAGGGGCACCUGGCCCUGAUGGGUUUCCCUUCCUCUUCUAUCAACACUUCUGGUCUACCAUUAAAGAAGAUUUUAUGUUGAUGGUGGAUGCCUGGAAUAAUAAUUCCUUAGAUCUAUUUAGAUUAAAUUUCUCUUUGUUAACACUCAUUCCAAAGUAA